CAAGAAGAAGAACGAACAACGCACGUAAACACAUAAAUUAAAGAAAGCAAAAGCUAGUGGAAAUAAAAGAACAUGGUCCCGCCGGCAAAAAAAAUAAAGAAAAGCUAUAUAACUUGGAGCAGUUCAGAACGCAGAAUCCUUCUGGAAAAGCGCAUUGACAAGGAUGUUUGGUUCAGUUCAAAGAACGCCAACAGCAACGAAGGCUGGAACAAAUGACUUCGUACUCCACUGACCAUCCGUGGCGCUUUUUGGGAAUGUGAGUUACAAUUUUUCGAAACGAAGCAGAGAACAACCUAAGAUACAUUUUUGUAGUCUUGUUAUCGCCGUUCAUAAUGCUGCUUAGUAUUUUGGAAUAAACGUCUUGUUGCAUUUACAUAAUACCCUAAAACGACAUAUGUUUUUAUUGGAAACAAUUGUACACGGUUUUAAACAUUUUUGUGAACACACUUACCAGACAGUUUUGACGUGUUUUUAUUUCUAAUAUUACUGCUAAAAGGUCUAACAAAUGCAUGGAUUUUAGUUCCAGAAGAAUUGAAAUCAUCAAAGGCAAAUAUUUUCUAUAUAAUUGCUGCAUUUUAUAAAUAGCAAACUCGAUAGUCUUCUUGUGCAUCAAAGCAACUGUCAAAAAUUUCCAGCAGUAAAAAGUUACGAAUUGGCACAGCAGAAAUGUAAAAUUUUCUCACCAUAGUA
rnacentral:lncRNA from 1 species